rnacentral:misc_RNA from 1 species
CCCUACACUACCAUCAAGCUCCAAUGCACUGUCUUCUGCAGAAUUUAAGGACCUACAAAGUUCUGCAUGAGCUGCAUACUGACUGGUCUUCACUGGUUUCUUGCAAGCAUUACAACAAACCAAAUCCAAAGGAUCAGUCAUAGGUUUCAAACCAAAAACAUGCAUAUCUUCUUCAUCAAGCAAAUUUGCUUCAUCUGCCUCGUGUAAUUCUCUAUAAAUGCAUUGAGUAGCCAAUUUCUGUUGGGCGAGUUCCUCUCCUAAGGUUUGUG